UACGGAGGGGGCUAGCGUUGUUCGGAAUUACUGGGCGUAAAGCGCACGUAGGCGGCUUUGUAAGUUAGAGGUGAAAGCCCGGGGCUCAACUCCGGAACUGCCUUUAAGACUGCAUCGCUAGAAUUGUGGAGAGGUGAGUGGAAUUCCGAGUGUAGAGGUGAAAUUCGUAGAUAUUCGGAAGAACACCAGUGGCGAAGGCGACUCACUGGACACAUAUUGACGCUGAGGUGCGAAAGCGUGGGGAUCAAACAGG
rnacentral:rRNA from 1 species